GAACGGGGCACAACGGACGAUGCCAAGCGGAAGCGGAAAUAAUAUUCCCCAGCUCAAGCAGCGGAAAUGAUUUAUUAAAAAACGGACCGGCAGGCAACUGAGAAAUCAUAAUAAUCGCAACAAUAACAAAAAAAAAAAUGGUCGAUGUAAGGAAAAAAAUGUCAGGGAUAAAACUUGGUUUUGUCACACAAUAAAUCGUAACAGAAAUCAAAGUGAAACGAAACUGCCAGGAAAAAGUUGUGAACUCAUCGAAUUUUCGAUAAGAGUAAAUUGCAAAAAUAAAUCCAUUAAGAUUAGAUUCAAAAUUCGCAUAAGAUUUUCCUACUGUAGCAAGUGCAUUGAGUUCUCAGAGUUCAGAAUAAUGUAUAUAUACCCUGUUUAUCAGCAUCCAAUACAAUUGCUCGACAAUUACACUGAGGGAGGAUUCAGUGCUUAGUGACACAGAAAUUCUGAUUCUGCUGCUGACAGUUGGCAGGAUAAAAGAUACAAAUGGAGCGCAGCGAGCGUAAAAACUGAAAACGUUUGCAAAUGUAUCUUUGGCUGCUUAAAGGGGAAGUCCGGGCACUUGAAGCAUAAUCACUGAGUGCAGCAUAUGAAGUGGCUUUUUCAAUUAUAUUUUAUACCAAAUGCAGUCUGUGAAGGUAUUCAAUUAGGAUCAAUGUUAUCUAUGCAUCUUUUGGAUUUCGGCUCACUUUGCCCCCUCACAUGUCAAUUAGCAGGAAACAUCUCUGUUUCCCUAUCAUUAAUUACAGCUCGAUGGCUGGAUUCGUUUUGGGGUUUGGGGGGCUGCAGAGAUUUUGUUUGGCCAUCAAAUAAACAAGCGACUGCAACUGCCACAAAAGCUGAUAUGCAUUGCUUGGAUAAACAACAUUCUGUGGCUGCAUUGCAAAUUAAAUUUGUCUGAAGCUCUUAUCACUUAUCACAUGGCUGAGCCAAAGUCAAAGAACGCAGGACGAGCUGCAUCCGCUCGAGCGCACAAGUUGCAAAACUAAUUAGCAGCAAAGUCAGUCAAGAAAAUGUAGUCAGCUACCGCUGAUGUUGCUGCUGUUGCUGUUGCUUUUGCUGUUGCAUCCACCAAAACGCCACAAAUGCUCUAAACGGGAGUGAGUUAUGGCCCAAAAGGAUGAGCAAAAGUGGUGCAUCAACCCAUUUGCCAGCUGCACACACUAGCUAAUAAAUUUAACUAUAAUCCGGCAUUGUUGCACUAAGUA